rnacentral:rRNA from 1 species
CUGGCGGCAGGCUUAACACAUGCAAGUCGAACGCCCCGCAAGGGGAGUGGCAGACGGGUGAGUAACGCGUGGGAAUCUACCCAGAUCUUCGGAACAACUGAGGGAAACUUCAGCUAAUACCGGAUACGCCCUACGGGGGAAAGAUUUAUCGGUUCUGGAUGAGCCCGCGUAAGAUUAGCUAGUUGGUGAGGUAAUGGCUCACCAAGGCUACGAUCUUUAGCUGGUCUGAGAGGAUGAUCAGCCACACUGGGACUGAGACACGGCCCAGACUCCUACGGGAGGCAGCAGUGGGGAAUAUUGGACAAUGGGCGAAAGCCUGAUCCAGCCAUGCCGCGUGAGUGAUGAAGGCCUUAGGGUUGUAAAGCUCUUUCAGUGGGGAAGAUAAUGACGGUACCCACAGAAGAAGUCCCGGCUAACUUCGUGCCAGCAGCCGCGGUAAUACGAAGGGGGCUAGCGUUGUUCGGAUUUACUGGGCGUAAAGCGCGCGUAGGCGGAUCGUUAAGUCGGGGGUGAAAUUCUGGAGCUCAACUCCAGAACUGCCUUCGAUACUGGCGAUCUCGAGUCCGGAAGAGGUGAGUGGAACUCCUAGUGUAGAGGUGGAAUUCGUAGAUAUUAGGAAGAACACCAGUGGCGAAGGCGGCUCACUGGUCCGGUACUGACGCUGAUGUGCGAAAGCGUGGGGA